UGGAUGCCUGAAGUGUAGACUGCUGC
rnacentral:piRNA from 1 species